GCCUAAAGUCUUAUAGCAAUUGUGAAGGUGU
rnacentral:piRNA from 1 species